GACCGGGUAUAACAGAACAACAAUAAAAACGGAACCAGCUUCUGAAAGUACCUGCGUGGAGAAAACGGUGGUUAGGAAAACUGAUGAUAUGACAGACUUCAUGGACGACUUAACCCUCAGCUCCCCGAAGAAGAGGGAGUCAUCUCUGAGAUCAUCCAAGAGAAGCUGUGACAGGUCGUCAACAAGGUCAUCUAGCAGAUCCUCUAGCAGCUCGCAGUCCAGUUCAAGUAGUUCCUCUUCAGCUUCCUCCAGGAGUUGGAGCCGGUCCAGAUCAAGGUCACGGGCUAGAAGAAAUGGUUCUCGAAGGUACAGAAGAUACUCUCGUUCGUAUUCCAGAAGCCGGUCAAGAUCACGUGGUUACACGAGAUACCGAGGAAGGUACCGUGCCAGACACUACAGGAGGUACCACCGCUCUCCUCCGAGGUACAGAUCGCGCAGUAGGUCAUGGUCUCGUGGAAGAUCGUAUUACAGAAGGUCCUACUCGAGAAGCAGAUCGCGUUCGAGAGGCCGAAGAUAUUACGGAUUUGGGCGAACAAUUUAUCCUGAGGCUUACAGGAGCUGGAGGAGCAGGUCACGGACAAGAUCUCGGAGUAGGUCACCUCUCCAUUUGAGUGAAAAAGACAAGAGGGAACUACUGGAAAUUGCAAAAGCCAAUGCUGCAAAAGCUCUGGGAACAGAUAACAUAGUCUUGCCAGCGAGCUUGAAGAUCCUUACUCCUUCCAAAGAGAGAAAAACAGAAAACCAAGAGCGUGAAGAUCCUGGCGAGUCAGCUGAGCAACCCAGAACGCUUGCAGAAGAUGUGACCAAGAGCGGAAUGGAGAGAGCAACCAUACAGAGAAGCAUUUCUUUCAGUCCUAAUAAUACAAUGGCAAAACCAGUACUACAGAAGCCAGUGAGCCAUGUUGUUAAAGAACCGGCAAUUUCUCCAGCAAGAGAAGAGGACAGAAAGGGAAGUCCCUAUGGGCAAUGGGUUCCUGUCAAGAAGGAGGAGAAGAAAACAUUUUUAAACUUCUCACCUAAAAGUGCACCGUUCCGGGCACGCUAGCUUACUUUUCUCACUCUGACUGCAGCAUUAUGCAUACUUCAGUAGUGACAUCUGACACUUUCUGAUCAGAUUGAAGACUUGUUAAUACUCAGUAUUUAUUUUGAGAUCUUAAUUUUGGAAUCUUAGGUUUCUCUUUCAGAUCUAGAGCACAGUGAUCCAGAAGCCACAGAUGGGAAUCUUGUGUAUAUUUGUAAAUAUUUUUGUAUUGCUUUAAUGGACUAGAACUUACAGGUUUAGCUUUGUUAACCCUACUGUUACCACGAAGUGUACCAGAAGAGAAUUUUUGCAUCAUUCUGACAGUGGACCUUUCCAUCAGAAUGGUUCCUGCCCAGGCUGGGGCUAGUUGGGGGCUUUCAGAGCAACUUCCCCAGGUACCCCUCUGCAGGUGAAGGCUUGUGCUGGAUGUGGGCCUGACUGCCUGCUGCGAAGCCAUUGCUGGUCUCACUGUUGAAAGUGUUGAACCUGAGCAGCUGUCACUUCUACUGACUUCCUGCUGGCUUGUGUUUUGGUUUAGGUUUAAAAACAGCCUUGAAAGGUGUGCUGUGUAGGGCAGCCAGCAAAUUGACCUUUAGGGGUCCCUUCCAACCCAAAACAUUCUGUGAUUCUAUGGUGCUAUAAGUGUCCAGAGCUCCAGAAUUCAGAGUGCAGCACUCCUGGCUCCAUGGCUCACUGUGACCUUGGUGAAGAAAAGCGCUGCAAGUGACUCAGGAGGCUGUUGGAUG